GCCCUUUUCAUUUGGCCCCAGGCUCCCUAUAUCCGUUUUGCCGGGUUCGCCCGGCUAUGGCGAUAAACUGCGGCGUGCAAUAGGCGCAGCGGACCCGGGGGCGGUACCCGGCGGCUCCACCAUUGUCUCCUUCCCUCUCGGGAGGGGGCCUGCUCCGGCAGGGACAAUGACGGGGCCGAACUAGGAUCGACGUGUGUUGAAAAGCGCUGUUUUUGCCCGGGCUGAGUAACCCGUUCAAGGCUCAAAACUCACAAGUGCCAACGAUAACGAAGCACUUGCUCUUGCUGCGUAAUUCUAGGGCCUAGCGGCCUGAAGUUACACUACCAAGAACGGGGUCCGGGGCGUACCUUGCAACAGAAACGCCCCACU
rnacentral:tmRNA from 1 species